rnacentral:rRNA from 1 species
AUGCCGAGCGCGGGGAGGCGGCUGCCGCCGUGGACGUCGCCGAGGGGCGCGGCGGAGAGGUGGAGCCCCGGCACCCCCGCCGGCUUCGCCGGCCCCAGGAGCCACAUCACCCCGCCCCUGAGCGCCGGCUGCUGCUCCUACCGCGUCACCCCGCCGGCGAGCGGCGGCGGGUGCUCCCGGCCGCCGAGGGCGCCGCCGGCGCUGGAUUCCCCGUACGUGAGGGCGAAGCAGGCGCAGUUAAUUGAAAAAGAUCCAAACAAGGCAGUUUCAUUGUUCUGGGCAGCUAUUAAUAGUGGUGAACGAACUGAGAGUGCACUGAAGGAUAUGGCUACUGUACUGAAACAAGCAAAUAGGGCUGAAGAAGCCAUUGAAGCGAUAAGAUCCUUCCGUGACCGUUGUCCCAAUGAAGCCCAGGAGUCUCUUGACAAUAUUCUUCUUGACUUGUACAAGAAAUGCGGUAGGACAAAAGAGCAGAUUGAAAUGCUGACAGUGAAGCUGAGAAUGAUUGAUGAGGAUCUAGCUUCUGGCCGGUGGAAAACUAAGCUUUCUAAAACUCAUGGAAGAGUAUUCUAUCUCUCUCUCAGGGAUGAAAAGGCAAGGUUGCUGGGUAACCUCGCCUGGGCCUAUAUGCAGUCUGAAAACUAUGAGGAAGCUGAAAUGCUAUACAGGCAAGCUCUUGCUAUAGAAACUGAUUAUAACAAAGAGUGCAAUCUAGCCAUCUGCAUGAUGAAGAUGGGAAAGGUAGCUGAAGCUAAAUACCUUCUCCAAGCUAUACCUUACAACUGCAAUGAUGAAAACCACGUGAGAUCUUUUGCCCGGGCUACUGAAGUGCUUAGGGAACUCGAGUCACAGGCACUCCCUUCUCCCAUAACUCAGAUGAAGUCUAAAGAUUCACGGAUUUUGCUUGCUACUGAUGUGGGGAACCUUGAAUAUCUACAUCCACUAAUAUUCUCUGCUUCAACUCAAUUGAAUUAUGAAGAACCGCAAGCUUCAGUUUCGGCGGAUACAGAGAAUCAUCAAGAUUGCAACUCACACGCGCUUCCAUCUCCGAUAACUCAGAUGAAGCGUAAAGAACCACAGCUUAUGGUUGCUACUGAUGGAGAGAAGAAUGGACAAAGUCUGGAGGAGUACCAUGAUCUUUCUAGACUGUUCAAUGAUGCUGCCACACCACAGUCUCUACUUGAGAAACUACGAAAGCGGCUGGUCAAAAAGGACAGACCCAAUAUCAGCGGGCAGAAUCAAGCUCAGACUCCUAGCCCGGCUGAAUGCUUGCAAAACUCUGUUGGCGCCAUAAUAGAUGCUAGUGAGAAUCCUAUGCAAGAGGGGAAGGGCUUGGUUGGUGGUGGUAGAAAAACGUGGGCCGACAUGGUGGAGGAGGAUGAACAGAAGCAGCUGGCCGAUGGCAAGAACACCACCGCCCCGCAAGGUAAAAGCAGCAAGCAUGCGAGUGAGCAGAGGGACAAAACACCAUCCUCAUCAUCUCAAGGAAGCAGCAGCCUCAAAACCCCAGCCGCGGGUAUUCGGCCACAGAGCUCAUCAGUGGGUUCAUGGAGACGCAAUGACUCGGCCGGAAUCUCAACAGACGAGAAUGCGAACCGGAGUUUCGUCAGGACAGCUCCAGCAUGGAAGCAGCGGAAGGUUCAAGAUCGCGGCGACCGAGUCUGCCAAAGGCUUAACACGACCCAUCUCAGUGAGAAAGCUCGAGGCGCCGAUCAGACACCAAGCUCAGUGAGAAGCAGUGCAGCUCAGCGUUCGCUUUUCCAUGGGCAGGUACCAUUUGGUGUUGAUGGACGCUCUCAGGGUGCCAGUCACAGCCGUUGGCCUGAGAACCCGUCGAGCACAGGACCGUGGAGGCCACCGUACCGCCGGCGGGCCUUCCAGGAAAUCACAAACGAGAUGAAGCAAAAUGUUGCAUAG